rnacentral:rRNA from 1 species
CCUACGGGCGGCAGCAGUGGGGAAUACUGGACAAUGGGGGCAACCCUGAUCCAGCCAUGCCGCGUGUGUGAAGAAGGCCCUCGGGUUGUAAAGCACUUUCAGUGAGGAAGAACGCCUGGUGGUUAAUACCCAUCAGGAAAGACAUCACUCACAGAAGAAGCACCGGCUAACUCCGUGCCAGCAGCCGCGGUAAUACGGAGGGUGCGAGCGUUAAUCGGAAUUACUGGGCGUAAAGCGCGCGUAGGUGGCUUGAUAAGCCGGUUGUGAAAGCCCCGGGCUCAACCUGGGAACGGCAUCCGGAACUGUCAAGCUAGAGUGCAGGAGAGGAAGGUAGAAUUCCCGGUGUAGCGGUGAAAUGCGUAGAGAUCGGGAGGAAUACCAGUGGCGAAGGCGGCCUUCUGGACUGACACUGACACUGAGGUGCGAAAGCGUGGGUAGCAAACAGGAUUAGAUACCCUUGUAGUC